CCUCAGGUCUGGGAUAACCACGAGAAAUCGGGGCUAAUACCGGAUGGGUCAUCGGACCGCAUGGUCCGAGGAUGAAAGGCGCUCCGGCGUCGCCUGGGGAUGGCUUUGCGGUGCAUUAGCUAGUUGGUGGGGUAAUGGCCCACCAAGGCGACGAUGCAUAGCCGACCUGAGAGGGUGAUCGGCCACACUGGGACUGAGACACGGCCCAGACUCCUACGGGAGGCAGCAGUAGGGAAUCUUCCACAAUGGACGAAAGUCUGAUGGAGCAACGCCGCGUGAACGAUGAAGGCCUUCGGGUCGUAAAGUUCUGUUGUAAGGGAAGAACAAGUGCCGCAGGCAAUGGCGGCACCUUGACGGUACCUUGCGAGAAAGCCACGGCUAACUACGUGCCAGCAGCCGCGGUAAUACGUAGGUGGCAAGCGUUGUCCGGAAUUAUUGGGCGUAAAGCGCGCGCAGGCGGCCUCUUAAGUCUGAUGUGAAAGCCCCCGGCUCAACCGGGGAGGGCCAUUGGAAACUGGGAGGCUUGAGUAUAGGAGAGAAGAGUGGAAUUCCACGUGUAGCGGUGAAAUGCGUAGAGAUGUGGAGGAACACCAGUGGCGAAGGCGACUCUUUGGCCUAUAACUGAC
rnacentral:rRNA from 1 species